rnacentral:tRNA from 1 species
GAUCCCGUAGCUCAGCAGGGAACCGAGCGCCACCUUGACAGGGUGGAGGUCGUGAGUUCGAAGCCUCUCCGGGGUCA